rnacentral:sRNA from 1 species
ACUCGGCUGUGCGGCGGGGCAGGCAUGGGAGCCGCGCGCUCUCUCCCGGCGCCCACACCUGUCUGAGCGGCGCAGCGAGCCGCGGCCCGGGCGGGCUGCUCGGCGCGGAUGGCUCCCUAAUGAGUAGAAUGAGACCUGUGUGCCAACCCUGGCCUAGUCCUCAUGCCCCCACAACUGUGAAGCGAGAGGGCUCAACAGUUUCGAAUUCAAUUCAACCACCACCUCCUGAAUACCAACUAGGUUCCAGGACCUGGCUAGAAGCAGAGACACCAGGACAGAAAAGAUAGUGUUCUGCCUUCAUGGAGUUCACAGAAGAGUCGAGGAGACACAGCUGGAUCCUCCCUGUUUACCCCAGUGGAUGCUAAAUGCUUUGGUGAAGAGGAGACAUCCCUGCACAAAGCAGAGCUGUGGAUUCUCUGACCUCCUUGAAGACUCUCUUCUGAGCUGCAGUGGACAUUUGCCAUAUUUUUAUUAAUGGGUGUCUGUCAUCAAAUAUCCCUCUGUAAGGGUUGGUCACUGUUGUGGCUUCUCUCGAUGUGAGGUCGGACUCACCUUCCAUAUCAAA